GCCAAAAUUAAAAUGAUCCAAAGCAUAGUUCAAACCUGAGCCAAACAAUAAGGAGUUAAGUAGAAUCUACAGAUUCUCAAACAAGAACUCAUGGUAAAAAACUCCUAAGUUUCCGACUAUUAUUUUUUCUGUUUUCAUUUUUGCAGGAUCAAAGAAAAAAAUAUGAUCAAGUCAAAAUCAAAAUCAAAACCAAACUGAAGUCAAAAUUAAACUAAUAUAAAAUAAAAAUCAUCCAAAUUAAAGCAAAGCUUAAGCCUAAAUUGAGGCAAAAAAUAAAAAAGAGUUAAAUAA
rnacentral:lncRNA from 1 species